rnacentral:lncRNA from 1 species
CCUAUCUCCAAAUAUAGUCAUGUUGGGUGUUAGGGCUUCAGUAUCUGAAUUUGGGGAGAACAUAAGUCCAUGACACAUGUGUACAAAACUUUCAUUGAGUAAGACCAUUUAAAGGGACCAAAAAUGGAUGAACAUACUUGGCACUAUGAACUAAAAGAUCUUUGGCUAAAGAAGAGAUGAAGACUCAUUCAACUCCUACAAGUGAAUUAAGGAGCUCUGAGAAGGCAAAGCCAGCCCAGGAGGGUGGACACACUAAGAACAAUGUGCCUUGUCCUGAUACACAGUUGUGGUAUAGGUAACAAAAUCUGAGUAUCCAACCUAAGAUGUUACCCCUCACCUCACCAGAAUACCUCCAAUCCCUUCCCUGGAAACACAGAAUAAAUUCCUAUAGAAAGUUAUAAAGCAGAAAAACAAGGUAUCUUUUGUGGAGUAAAGAAUGAUUAUGGAGGAAAAACACCAUUAACUGUCACAGAAAUAAUUGUGUCAUUCAGCAGAAUGGUAGCUCUAAGGAAGACAGCAGCAAUACUCAAGGUACAGCCAUUCUUCUGGAACAAGUCCCACCAAUCUGAAGCUGGAGUCAAUGGUGGUGACAGUGGUGACAUUGCAGAAAAGUAAGAAAGUUGAGGGAGGGAUUCAGGAGAAACAUGGCUGUUGGAAUUAGACACUCAAGAUCUAAACUAAAUGGGAUUAGUAAUGAUAAAA